GACGAACGCUGGCGGCGCGCUUAACACAUGCAAGUCGAGCGAUGAAAUUUCGACAGAUCCCUUCGGGGUGAAGAUGAAAUGGAUUAGCGGCGGACGGGUGAGUAACACGUGAGUAACCUGCCUUUGACAUUGGGAUAGCCUCGGGAAACUGGGAUUAAUACCAAAUGACACUAGCUGAUCACAUGAUCAAUUAGUCAAAGAAAUUCGGUCAAAGAUGGACUCGCGGCUGAUUAGCUAGUUGGUGAGGUAACGGCCCACCAAGGCGACGAUCAGUAGCCGGCCUGAGAGGGUGAUCGGCCACAUUGGAACUGAGACACGGUCCAAACUCCUACGGGAGGCAGCAGUGGGGAAUAUUGCACAAUGGGGGAAACCCUGAUGCAGCGACGCCGCGUGAGCGAAGAAGGCCUUCGGGUCGUAAAGCUCUUUUAUGAGGGAAGAUAAUGACGGUACCUCAAGAAAAAGCCCCGGCUAACUACGUG
rnacentral:rRNA from 1 species